AGAGUUUGAUCCUGGCUCAGAACGAACGCUGGCGGCGUGCCUAACACAUGCAAGUCGAACGAGAAAGGGGCCUCGGCUCCGAGUAAAGUGGCGCACGGGUGAGUAACACGUGGGUAACCUGCCUCUAAGAUUGGGAUAACUCGUCGAAAGAUGAGCUAAUACCGAAUAAGACCACAGUUCCCGCGGGAACAGGGGUCAAAGGUAGCCUCUGCUUGCAAGCUAUCACUUAGAGAUGGGCCUGCGCACCAUUAGCUAGUUGGUAGGGUAACGGCCUACCAAGGCAAAGAUGGUUGGCUGGUCUGAGAGGAUGAUCAGCCACACUGGAACUGAGACACGGUCCAGACUCCUACGGGAGGCAGCAGUGGGGAAUAUUGCGCAAUGGGCGAAAGCCUGACGCAGCAACGCCGCGUGAGUGAUGAAGGCCUUCGGGUCGUAAAGCUCUGUCGGGAGGAACGAAUGCUCCUGAGGUUAACAGCCUCGGGAGGUGACGGUACCUUCAAAGGAAGCACCGGCUAACUCUGUGCCAGCAGCCGCGGUAAU
rnacentral:rRNA from 1 species